rnacentral:rRNA from 1 species
AAAAGUCGUAACAAGGUUUCCGUAGGUGAACCUGCGGAAGGAUCAUUAUCGAGUUUUGACUGGGUUGUAGCUGGCCUUCCGAGGCAUGUGCACGCCCUGCUCAUCCACUCUACACCUGUGCACUUACUGUGGGCUUCAGAUCGUAAAACGGGUCCCUUUACCGGGCUUGCGGAGCGUGUCUGUGCCUGCGUUUAUCACAAACUCUAUAAAGUAUCAGAAUGUGUAUUGCGAUGUAACGCAUCUAUAUACAACUUUCAGCAACGGAUCUCUUGGCUCUCGCAUCGAUGAAGAACGCAGCGAAAUGCGAUAAGUAAUGUGAAUUGCAGAAUUCAGUGAAUCAUCGAAUCUUUGAACGCACCUUGCGCUCCUUGGUAUUCCGAGGAGCAUGCCUGUUUGAGUGUCAUGAAAUCUUCAACCUGCAAGCUUUUGUGGUUUGUAGGCUUGGACUUGGAGGCUUGUCGGCCGUUGUUGGUCGGCUCCUCUUAAAUGCAUUAGCUUGGUUCCUUGCGGAUCGGCUCUCAGUGUGAUAAUGUCUACGCUGCGACCGUGAAGCGUUUGGCGAGCUUCUAACCGUCUCAGUUGGAGACAACUUUAUGACCUCUGACCUCAAAUCAGGUAGGACUACCCGCUGAACUUA